GACGAACGCUGGCGGCGUGCUUAACACAUGCAAGUCGAACGGAAAGGCCCUGCUUUUGUGGGGUGCACGAGUGGCGAACGGGUGAGUAACACGUGAGUAACCUGCCCUUGACUUUGGGAUAACGUCAUGAAACUGGGGCUAAUACCGGAUAGGAGCUCCUGCUGCAUGGUGGGGGUUGGAAAGUUUCGGCGGUUGGGGAUGGACUCGCGGCUUAUCAGCUUGUUGGUGGGGUAGUGGCUUACCAAGGCUUUGACGGGUCGCCGGCCUGAGAGGGUGACCGGCCACACUGGGCCUGAGAUACGGCACAGACUCCUCCGGGAGGCAGCAGUGGGGAAUAUUGCACAAUGGGCGGAAGCCUGAUGCAGCAACGCCGUGUGCGGGAUGACGGCCUUCGGGUUGUAUUCCGCUUUCGCCUGUGACGAAGCGUGAGUGACGGUAAUGGGUAAAGAAGCACCGGCUAACUACGUG
rnacentral:rRNA from 1 species